rnacentral:rRNA from 1 species
AUUGAACGCUGGCGGCAUGCUUUACACAUGCAAGUCGAACGGUAACAGGCCGCAAGGUGCUGACGAGUGGCGCACGGGUGAGUAAUGCAUCGGAACGUGCCCAGCCGUGGGGGAUAACUACUCGAAAGAGUAGCUAAUACCGCAUACGAUCUAUGGAUGAAAGCGGGGGACCGUAAGGCCUCGCGCGAUUGGAGCGGCCGAUGUCAGAUUAGGUAGUUGGUGGGGUAAAGGCUCACCAAGCCAACGUUCUGUAGCUGGUCUGAGAGGACGACCAGCCACACUGGGACUGAGACACGGCCCAGACUCCUACGGGAGGCAGCAGUGGGGAAUUUUGGACAAAGGGCGCAAGCCUGAUCCAGCAAUGCCGCGUGCAGGAAGAAGGCCUUCGGGUUGUAAACUGCUUUUGUACGGAACGAAACGGCUCUGGUUAAUACCCGGGGCUAAUGACGGUACCGUAAGAAUAAGCACCGGCUAACUACGUG